rnacentral:rRNA from 1 species
AACGCGAAGAACCUUACCAAGGCUUGACAUACACCGGAAUCACUCAGAGAUGGGUGCGUCUUCGGACUGGUGUACAGGUGGUGCAUGGUUGUCGUCAGCUCGUGUCGUGAGAUGUUGGGUUAAGUCCCGCAACGAGCGCAACCCUCGUUCCAUGUUGCCAGCAGCACUUUUAGUGGCUGGGGACUCAUGGGAGACUGCCGGGGUCAACUCGGAGGAAGGUGGGGAUGACGUCAAAUCAUCAUGCCCCUUAUGUCUUGGGCUUCACGCAUGCUACAAUGGCCGGUACAAAGGGCUGCGAUACCGUAAGGUGGAGCGAAUCCCAAAAAACCGGUCUCAGUUCGGAUUGGGGUCUGCAACUCGACCCCAUGAAGUCGGAGUCGCUAGUAAUCGCAGAUCAGCAACGCUGCGGUGAAUACGUUCCCGGGUCUUGUACACACCG